UACAGAGGGUGCUAGCGUUGUUCGGAAUCAUUGGGCGUAAAGGGCGUGUAGGCGGUUUGUUAAGUCAUGUGUGAAAGCCCCCGGCUCAACCGGGGAACGACGCAUGAAACUGGCAAGCUAGAGUACCGAAGAGGGGGGUGGAAUUCCCGGUGUAGCGGUGAAAUGCGUAGAUAUCGAGAGGAACACCUGCGGCGAAGGCGGGUAGCUGGGCCGACACUGACGCUGAGGCGCGAAAGCCAGGGGAGCGAACGGG
rnacentral:rRNA from 1 species